rnacentral:tRNA from 1 species
UUUUUAAAAUCAACGGAUUUUCCUCUUACUAUAAAUUUCAUUGUUGCCGAUAAUGACAUGUAGAAUAGGA